AGAUUAAACGUGUCCUUGUUUGUUAGCCAAUUAUCUUUCUCUUGCGCAGUUGGUUUGCCUAACCACGUUAGCUUCACGUUUUCUUGAAACGGCUUGAAGAAUGAGCUGCUCUACUUUUACCAGCUUAAAAUAGCAGCGGCGACUGAGCCAGAGUAGGGAAGCCGGUUCGGUUUGAUUUAAAAAAGAAACAGUCUGUUUGCUGCGGAGAAACAGCAGCUGCCCCCGAAACAGAGAGAGCCAUAUUUACCGUCUAGGAGAAUCCGAAUCUCGGCAAUUGCAAAAAUAAAAAUAAAAGUAAUAAAAAAGAAAAAACGGAAAAAAAAUCAUCGCUGAAUAAAAAAGCACAAAUUGGAUUUAAUUGAUUACGUGGAGAGAUCAAGUGGGGGCAUCCUCUGUUACAGUCUCCCCCACACUGCAAAAAGUGACUUUGUUUCCAGAUAUUUUCUAUUUCUCUCUCUAAAAACACUUCAUCUGUUGUAAAAUUCGUGUUUCUCUCUCUAUUACUCUAAAUAGAUCUCUCGUUACAUGCUUGCUUGUUGGAUUAUUUUUCAUUCUCCUUUCACAGAUAUCGAUUGGCGUUUUUUCUUUUUCCUGUUUAUCUUGUUUGCAAAUUUAUUAGAGUCCUCUCUUUUCGAUCACUCACUGCGUGUACAUUUAUUGCUUUAAUGCUGAUUUAUCUUCCGUAGAUUAUCGCUUGAAUCGGUUAUUAACUGUUAGUUCUGCUCCUGUUAAUUUUCUUUUCGUUUCUGUAAGAUCCGUUUGGUUACUGAGAAAGUUUAAGUAAAUGAAUGAACUGAGAAGGUUUAUUUAUUCACAUGCACUCUUACCUUAAACCCUACCUACCUUCCUUUUGAUUUCAUUUCUGUAGCUUUCUCCGUUCUAAAACGGAACAUUUUCUUUAUGUUCAAGUGUUUUGUACGAAACUCAUCAGCGGUAGCUCUUUUUAUUUUUUUUCAUUUUAUUUUUUUGAUUAACGUUUUUUCUUUUUAUUUUUUCACAGAUUGAGUUUUUGGCAGCAGAUAUUUUAGAGGGACAACAAAGUCUGAUGCCGUUUGGCUUUCAGGAACUUUUUGACGAAGCUGCUGGUUUCCUUGGUUAUCUGUUAUCAUACACAUGCUAAAGUUCUCAUCAACCAAAGUCUGUCUGUUGAAUGGUUAGUGGCACGCAUACCACGUGGCACUGAUAGAAGCAUAGUUGUACAUUUUAAAAGCCAUUAAUAUCACGGAACUUUCAUUUCCAGUAGAUGCAUCUUCUUCGCUAUUGCAAUUGUAAUCUGCUGCAGUUGUCAAAGAAAAAGGGGUUUGGCAUCAAGAUGAUGGGAAAACAACUGUUAGAUGAAAUGAAAAUACUUGUUAUGUGGAGGAUUAUACCCCAAUUUUGUUGUUCUUGCUGGUGGGUCAUAAUUCUGUUGCUGCGGCUGGCUAAGCUGAAGAUGGACUGGUACAUUUGGUUCCUCCCCAAUUCCCAGACCAUUUGUGCUAAGGUACAUGGUUCAAGUCCUGGGCUUGAAUAUUUUGCAGUAUUUCUUUUCUUCUUUUCUGAUGGGGAUUGGAUGAAAGGGGAAAGGAGGGUCAUGGGUGUGCUAGUUGGGUUAUGCAAGUCAUACUACUUCGAGUUUAGUUCAAUAAAAUUACCACUGCGUAAUGUCCUGCCCUUCUCUCUCUGUCGACAUGGAGACAUAGUAUGGUUUUUGAUGUGUUGAUCUAAUAAAUGGACAUAAAAUGAGGACGUAGGAUUUAAUUCAAGGGCAACCAGUGAUGCAUGAACAUGACAGACACCAGAAGAGCUGUACAAUGCAUGAGGUUUUCCGCAUAAUUUGAUGGUAAGUAUCAGAAAGUGUAUUCAUAUCUCAAGAGCAAGCAACAUGGCUCACAGUCUUCUAGUAUUGAGAAGUAUGCUUAUGGUAAUUCUAUCUACAUCUUUAAAUAACUCUAACUAGGUAUCACCAGUCCCAAGUCUAGACAAUGGAGGAGUUCUACGGUAUGUUAUGGGCUAACAUGAUAUGUAGUUAUUCUUAUGAACUUGAAUCAGUAAAAGAGCAAAACUUUUGUUGGAUAUAGUGUUUAUCUUCUUAAUAGCAUGAUACAUGUUAGUUAUGUACGUACAUAGUUCUACUUACUGUUGAUCUGGUGUAGUGCUGUUUAUGAUUGACUGGAGAAGAAAAGGGUGGUUGUAACAAUGAUCAAAGUGUUUGGAUGCUUGCGGUUCAACAGUGUGGGAGUUUCAAUUUUAGAUACAAGAAUACUAAACUACUCCUCGUUGUUGAAAGUUUUUCGCUGCUGCUUAUGUAUUCACAUUUAUCUACUGGUGCUUGAUACUGAUCCUUUUUCAAAAUCAGGCCUCUAAAUUAAGUCUGACUGCAGAUUUGUUUGUGCCAUUUCUUUCCCUUUAGAAUAUCUACAGCAGAUUUAGAUUUUCAUCAUGUGAUGGGAAAAAUGCAAUUUCAUUUUCUAAGAUCUUCUUUUUUUAAUAAAAAACCAUGUUUUAUAUAUUAGUCCUAUGUCAAGAUGUUUCAAUCUUGCAACAAAUACAUGCUUCCCAAGUUUCAAAACUGUUUAAAAUAUGCUUCCCAAGUUUCAAAACUGUUUCUAAAAUCUAAUCAUGGUACCAAUUUUCCUUUCAUGUUUCAUGUCUUUUAUGUUCUCUCGCAACCAUAACAAAGGCCUGUGGCAUAGAUUCUCAUCAUGUGAUGGGAAGAAAUCUUUCUCACAUGUAGUUGGCAAAAUUUUGAAAAAGAAAAUAUUGUGUAUGUUGCUCCUGGUAACAAAUUUGUUUAGGGAAAGCAAGAAAGUUUAGCAUGCUUGGUGGGCCCAGGCUCAUGGUCAAGAGUGGAUGCCUUGAAAAUAUGAUGUUUUAUCAAGCAUAUAUUAAAUAAUUAUAAAUAAAUUGACAGAGAAAGGGGACUGGUAUGUAGAUACCUUCACUUCCGAGAUUGGGUUCCCCGUCUGAUUGUUUUCCUCUUUUGAUUUGUUGUAUCUUUCAAUUAUUGAUUUCAUGCUGUAAAAACAGAUUCAUCUGUUAGAGAUAAAUACUGUACUCACUGAUCAACUUUUAACAACAUUGAAGACUAAAAUGUCACUGAUCACCACGUGGAUAAUUUAUGCAUAAAUAAAAAGAUAUGAUUUGUCGUAUCUUUCGCUUAUUUGACAACACAAUUGAUUUACCACAUUCUUGUUUUCAUUCGAGCUGUUGUGAUUCAUAUAUUGUAUGAUGCAGAUGUCCGUUACAGCUGACAUCUAUUAAGAAACUCCAAUUUCUGAGUUGACAUUGGUUAAUGUAUUUGCUUACUUUGACACACAAUCUUUGAUGCUGAUAGUCCUAAUUUUAGCUUAUGUUAUUCACCAUUUCUGCAAAUUAGGAAGUUCACCUUGCAGGAACUAAACUAUCAAAUGAGAGCUAAAUUGAAUGUAUGUCACUACAUUUGCAACUUUCUUCUACGCCUCUCUCUCUCUCAGUGUAGACCGUAACCAAUUAUAACUUCAACAAGCACCCUUCUUGCCCUACAAAAGGGGAAAAGAAAAUGUUUAUUCCCCUACUCAUCUAGUUUGAUUCUACAUGUAUGUAUGGCCUGUCAUGGCAUACUAAAUCAUUACAAACUUCCACGAUAUUCCUGCUAUAACUAGAUGACUAGACCAAAUGUACAACAGCGAAAUGGGGGAACUGGAGGCUACAGAAAUCAAAAAACAGAUCAGAAGACUAGGUUAAUUGCAAGGACCCUCCUGUUGAGUUCUAAUGGAUACAUGAGUAGCAGAUGGUGAGUUGCAAUUUAUCAACUUUUGAGAGAACAGGGGGCCUUUAUGUAAUUGUGACAUCAGCUUCUUCAAUAUUUUAAUCUCUCACAAAUUAAUUAGCUCUUACAUUUUUGCUACAAUUUACUUGUCAUUAUUUUGUGGUGCUUGAUUUUCCUCUUCUGACUUUUCUUCUUGUGCUUCUGCCAUCAUUAGAAAUUUUCCUUCUGUGCUGGACAUGCUGAACUACCACUACCACAGGUCCUAAGGGAUGAUGGACUAGAGCAUGUUUCUUUUUUAAAACAUCGGCCCUCAAUAUUUUCGAAUGGAGAGGGACACUAAACAAAGAUAAUUGAGCCAAUCUCUUCCCAACUGGUGAUGCCCAUAUGAAGGGAGAAACUAAGCAUGCACCGGUAAGAGUUCUAGAUGAUUCAUACUUUUAGGCAAUCAUUCCCCAUUUUAGAACCUAAGAAGUUAUAGAACUUCAUUGUACUUGGGAGUCGCGAAGCAGGAGAGGUUAGAAUCCUCAGUUGUAUAGAGAGAAAGGGAUACAAUUGAGAAAGUGAUAUCCACAAGCUAGGUUUGAUAAAUAACGGAAACGCCAACAUGAGGUAUCCCAUGCAUGAGGAUCAAGAGCUCUUGGCACCGGAAAAUGAUGCUGCUAAUGACAGACUAAUAAAUUUUUGAAGCCCUUCAAUAGUACACUUAGAGAAGCUGGGAGAUAUCAUUUCCAGAUGUAAGGAAUAUCAAUUAUGCAUGUGGAACUAGUCAUUUAUGAAGAAAAUAGAAAGGCAGGUAAAAUGCCGUACAGAGGCCUGAUGGUAUUAUCCCACUCAUACAGAUCUUAAUCUAACGCAAUACCCCUUUACACUCAGAAAAACCAAUGCUGGUACAUUGAAGAAUACCCGACAUAAGAAAAACUAAUCUCAUCCUGUAGCCUAAAAUAUUUAUGAAGCCAUGCAUUAAACCUAUUUUCUCCCAUCCUCGUCUUCAUUCUCUAAUAACUUUUUUCAUCACGCCAAAGGACUAACUUAACCAUUAAAAUGGCAUGAAGGGAGAUGAAUACGAUGAUGGAAGAGGAUAGACGGGUUCAUGGCUGAGAUUGUUGCCUUUUUUCUCUUUAUUUCGUGAUCACAAAAUGAUUGAGGGAAAGCUUUCAUAUUCAUUUAUGUUUGAGAAUGUAAUUUCAUAUAAAAACUUAUAAAUAAAAAUAUAUAGCGACAUAUAAGUUGAAAA